UGCGAUACUUGGUGUGAAUUGCAGGAUCCCGCGAACCACCGAGUCUUUGAACGCAAGUUGCGCCCGGAGCCUUCUGGCCGAGGGCACGUCUGCCUGGGCGU
rnacentral:rRNA from 6 species